AUGGUCGGGUCGGGGUCGAAGCAUGCCGCGGGCGGGAGCGGCCUCGGCGGCGGAGGGGAGAGGCGCAAGUACCCGAUCCGCGCCGAGGACUACGAGCUGUACGAGGAGAUCGGGCAGGGCGUCAGCGCCAUCGUCUACCGCGCGCUCUGCAGGCCGCUCGGCGAGACCGUCGCCGUCAAGGUGCUCGACUUCGAGCGCACCAACAGCAACCUGAACAAUAUCAUGCGUGAAGCCCAGACAAUGAUUCUUAUAGACCAUCCUAAUGUUGUUAAGGCGAUCUGUUCAUUUGCAAAUAACCAAACGUUAUGGGUAGUUAUGCCGUACAUGGCUGGAGGAUCUUGUCUUCACAUAAUGAAAUCAGUCUAUCCGGAUGGUUUCGAGGAAGCUGUCAUUGCAACACUGCUCCGUGAAGUUCUAAGAGGAUUGGAAUAUCUUCAUCAUCAUGGGCAUAUACAUCGUGAUGUCAAGGCGGGAAAUAUCCUAGUUGAUUCUCGUGGUGGAGUUAAGCUUGGAGAUUUUGGGGUUUCUGCUUGCCUUUUUGAAUCUGGUGACAGACAGCGGGCUAGAAACACUUUCGUGGGAACUCCUUGCUGGAUGGCACCAGAGGUAAUGGAGCAACUACAUGGAUAUGAUUUCAAGGCAGACAUAUGGUCCUUUGGAAUUACCGCACUUGAACUUGCCCAUGGUCACGCUCCUUUCUCAAAGUACCCUCCCAUGAAGGUCUUGCUUAUGACACUUCAAAAUGCUCCCCCCGGUCUUGAUUAUGAAAGAGAUAAGAAAUUCUCAAGGCACUUCAAGCAAAUGGUAGCUAUGUGUUUGGUAAAAGAGCCUUCAAAAAGGCCGACUGCAACAAAAUUGCUCAAGCAAUCCUUUUUCAAGCAAGCUCGUUCCCAUGAUUACAUUGUUCGAAAGCUUUUGGAGGGAUUGCCUGGCCUUGGCGCUAGAUAUCAAGCUUUGAAGGAAAAGGAUGAACAUUUACUUGCUCAAAAGAAAAUGCCUGAUGGUAGAAAGGAAGAAAUCUCGCAGGGGGUUGAUUCAGUGAGCAGGCUUUCCAAAUUUCGUUCUCUGCAUCAUUUGAUAUUAAACUGGACUAUUUCUGACUCUGCACGCGGGACAACUGAUAUCCUCGACCUUGGUUGUCUCCUAGAGGCUGCCCCUUCCAUGGAGAAACUAGAAUUGCAUAUGGUAACGGACCAUUUCCUACACAAGCGGUACCGUCAAGAAGACGGCGAGCUGAGGAGUCUCCCUUCAUGCCCGCACUCACAUCUCAGUUUGGUGCAUAUAAGCGGAUUCAUCGGCGAGAAAGAUCAACUGGAGCUGGCGCUUCAUAUUAUCCACAAUGCUACUGUUCUCGAAGCAUUGAAGAUUGAUCCAUGGCCGAGAACAGCUAACCCUGUACGAGCGCGCGUCAAGUCGGAAAACCGUCUUGCCAAUGGUCGGAGUGUUGCAUUGGAAUUUCUUUGCAAAGAUGACCACCGCAGUGUCGUCAGCGUACUUGAAGAUGUGGGGGAGUAG
rnacentral:rRNA from 1 species